rnacentral:rRNA from 1 species
CCUACGGUGGGCUGCAGUGGGGAAUAUUGCACAAUGGGGGAAACCCUGAUGCAGCAACGUCGCGUGAGUGAAGAAGUAUUUCGGUAUGUAAAGCUCUAUCAGCAGGGAAGAGAAUGACGGUACCUGACUAAGAAGCCCCGGCUAACUACGUGCCAGCAGCCGCGGUAAUCCGGAGGGGGCAAGCGUUAUCCGGAUGUAUUGGGUGUAAAGGGAGCGUAGACGGGUGUACAAGUCUGGAGUGAAAGCCCGUGGCUCAACCGCGGAACUGCGUUUGACACUGGAAAGCUGGAGUACUGGAGAGGCAGGCGGAAUGCGUAGUGUAGCGGUGAAAUGCGUAGAUAUUAGGAAGAACACCAGUGGCGAAGGCGGCCUGCUGGA